CCUACGGGAGGCAGCAGUGGGGAAUAUUGGACAAUGGGGGCAACCCUGAUCCAGCCAUGCCGCGUAUGUGAAGAAGGCCCUCGGGUUGUAAAGCACUUUCAGUGAGGAAGAACGCCUGGUGGUUAAUACCCAUCAGGAAAGACAUCACUCACAGAAGAAGCACCGGCUAACUCCGUGCCAGCAGCCGCGGUAAUACGGAGGGUGCGAGCGUUAAUCGGAAUUACUGGGCGUAAAGCGCGCGUAGGUGGCUUGAUAAGCCGGUUGUGAAAGCCCCGGGCUCAACCUGGGAACGGCAUCCGGAACUGGCAAGCUAGAGUGCAGGAGAGGAAGGUAGAAUUCCCGGUGUAGCGGUGAAAUGCGUAGAGAUCGGGAGGAAUACCAGUGGCGAAGGCGGCCUUCUGGACUGACACUGACACUGAGGUGCGAAAGCGUGGGUAGCAAACAGGAUUAGAUACCCCUGUAGUC
rnacentral:rRNA from 1 species